AGUGAACGCUGGCGGCAGGCCUAACACAUGCAAGUCGAGCGGAUGAAGGGAGCUUGCUCCUGGAUUCAGCUGCGGACGGGCGGGUAAUGCCUAGGAAUAUCCCUAGUUGUUUUUUAUAACGGCCUGAAACGGGCGCUAAUACCGCAUACGUCCUUACGACGAAAGUGUGGGAUCUUCGGACCUCACGCCCUCGGGUGAGUCUAUGUCGCAUUAGCUAGUUGGUGGGGUAAAGGCCUACCAAGGCGACGAUCCGUAACUGGUCUGAGAGGAUGAUCAGCCACACUGGAACUGAGACACGGUCCAGACUCCUACGGGAGGCAGCAGUGGGGAAUAUUGGACAAUGGGCGAAAGCCUGAUCCAGCCAUGCCGCGUGUGUGAAGAAGGUCUUCGGAUUGUAAAGCACUUUAAGUUGGGAAGAAGGGCAGUAAGUUAAUACCUCGCUGUUUUGACGGUACCAAAAGAAUAAGCACCGGCUAACUUCGUG
rnacentral:rRNA from 1 species